rnacentral:rRNA from 1 species
AGUAGCGGUGAAAUGCGUAGAUAUCUGGAGGAAUACCAAAGGCGAAGGCAGUCCCCUGGUCCGAUACUGACACUGAGGUACGAAAGCGUGGGGAGCAAACAGGAUUAGAUACCCUGGUAGUCCACGCCCUAAACGAUGUCGAUUAGCCAUUGGAAGGACCCCUUUUCCUUUCAGUGACGUAGCUAACGCGUUAAAUCGACCGCCUGGGAAGUACGACCGCAAGGUUAAAACUCAAAGGAAUUGACGGGGACCUGAACAAGCGGUGAAUGAUGUGGAUUAAUUCGAUGCUACGCGAAGAACCUUACCUACCUUUGACAUGGCCAAAGUUCUACCGAGAGGCGGAAGUACUCGUAAGAGGAUUGGCGCACAGGUGCUGCAUGGUUGUCGUCAGUUCGUGUCGUGAGAUGUUGGGUUCAGUCCCGCAACGAACGCAACCCUUAUCUUUAAUUGCUCCUAUUUUAACAGGCACUUUAAAGAAACUGCCAAUGAUAAGUUGGAGGAAGGUGGGGAUCACGUCAAGUCCGCAUGGCCUUUAUAGGUAGGGCUUCACACGUCAUACAAUGGUUAGAACAAGGAGCUGCAAAUUCGUAAGAAGGAGCCAAUCUCACAAACCUAACCUCAGUUCGAAUUGCGGUCUGCAACUCGAGCGCAUGAAGCCGGAAUCGCUAGUAAUCGUGGAUCAGAAUGCCA